UGGGUGGGGUUCCUUCUUCACAAUCCCUUUUGAUUCCUCCGCAGGUCUCACUUUCCCAGCUCAAGUCUGGCCUGUUUGAAGGACACUGGAAACCCCAGAGGUGUUGGCUGGAUGCUUGGUGUGGCCUGCAGCAGGAUUUCCAUGACCAGUUCCUUGGCAGGUGCUGGCCAGGCUUUGCCCUACUCAGAAAUAACCGUGUUUUGGAAAAGUAGGAGCCAGUUGAAACACUUGUGGAUUGUUCUGGGGGAAGCAGGGGAAAGGCUUUCACUGAGCGUUGGAGAUUUUUAGCAGGAAGCCAGCUCAAACUUGCUCAGGAUGGAAGAGUGCUGUUGUGCUCUCAAUGCAUUUGGCUUUGCUGUUUAGAAGUUAAAACAGUAAAAGUGAAGAAGCUGAAGAGAAUGACAGUGAGGGAAGUGCUACGAGGUGUAAAAGCCCCACAACUGACAUGCAAUAAUAAAAGAAAAUCAACUGACUCCAGGCAAAUAUUAAUGAAAAACAAUUUAUAUACUUAUCAUAUAAAGAUUACAGGUAAGCAAUUAAAAACCUCUUAUAUAUAAACAUUUGGAGAGUGUAAUUUUAAAAUCCAGAACAUUCACUUUUCAGCUUAACACAGACAUACAACCUCUGAGUGAACAGUACUAUAUACAUUAGGAACUAUGCUGUAUGUACAUGGGAAACUGCUCUGUACAGACACUGACACUGAACCAAAAUGCAGAGAAAACUUAACUUCUGGUCUUGCCCUAAAUUUGGACGAAGGUUAAGGCUCAGUAACAACCCCCUCCCUCUACCACCCUCUAAACCAAGAUACAACUGGAAUUCAUAAACUGUUCAGACUAGGACCUGCGAUAGGUCUCUUGGAUGUACAACAGGCCUGUUGGACCUACAAUAGGUCUGGUUUACCUACUUGUAAACAGAAGUGAUAAAUCCAAAUGUAGUGUAAAACUUACGGAACCUGAGCCCAGUUUUGAAAAUUAGUGCGACAGAACUGGGGGGGGGGAAAGGCCCAGGCAUGGAUAAAACUCUUAUUUUAACUAAUGAUCCUUAACAGUCCUAAGUUAUCUAUUUGGAUAAUAACUAACUCCUAAAUUUGCACAAUGCUAUCUAAGGAAACCGAAACACUGUAUCUAUUUAAUGUAUCUCAAAUAAGGGCUGUUUACAAUCCAGCGUCUCACUUAUGGCUUUUAAAAAAUUUAAAAGUUCUGCUCAUGAAGAGUAAUUGCACAUGAGGAGGAGGUACAUCCAUCACACGAGAAAGGCAUCAAGUUCUGCUCCCUGGGUUAAAGUCCAAGGCAAACCACCCUGUCAUGGCAUUAAGACCUCAAUCCAACACAAGUAGUGUGUGUUUGUCCCGUUCACGAACAAUUCAUGACGAUCAUCCAAAGGCAAGUGCAGUUCAUUCAUUUUAAAGUUCUUUGGAAACCAUAUCCAAAACAGGUAAUUCUCUGGCGCAGAACAAGUGCAAAAAGCCUUCAGCUGGUUCAGGCAGACGUGCACUCAGAACUUUCUUCAGCUGUGUAAAAAUAAAUUCAGAUGAUCUUCUGUGUAAUACUGGCACGAAGGAGACUGUUUUCUCACAGAGUUGGCUCGUGGGGUGUCCCUUAAGCCAAAGGUGGCAGCCUCUUGCCCCAGGGCUGCCCAGUCCUCCAAUUGCACAUUUUCAACAGGUAAUACUGACACAUCCACCCCUAACACUGGAC